ensembl:lincRNA
AUGCCAAUGAACAUGGCUACCAGCCUCCCAACCUUAACCGCAGAGUGGCGUGGACAUGCAGGAAGCUUUGCCUUUCUUCCUUCUUUUGUUGGAGCCCCAGAGUUAGAAGCCGCUGAAACAUUGAGACUCGCGGUCAGACUUAAAAUUCCAGAUUCCAAGCAAAAUCUCCCACCAGGUCCUUCUUCCAACUCUCCAGACACCAUCUCAUUAAGCAGUGUGGCCAUGCGGUCUGUUUCCAGGGGGUAGAUUCGACCCGUAAGUCCCUCAGCACUCAGGAUGAGGCCAUGCCCAUCGUGGAUCUUCUCAGAUCUGUUUUACCUGUACUGUGGUUUUCAAAUAGCCUGUUCAAGUAAAGACAGCAUGGAGGUAUAUUACACCUCAUGCGGAGAACAGUGAUGCUCUCCCAGACUUUUGCACCUGAUCAGAUGUUCAUGACAGUUCGAUGAGUUCAGGAAAGAUAGUAGGACUUCCUGCAGAUGUGAUGCUGCUCUGUUUCUCCAGGUGUGGGGGGAGACAGGACACUGCCCAGCGGGUAAGCUCUCCCAAAGUUUCUCUUAUCUAAUCAGAAUAUUAUCAGUGGGUUUUUUGUUCAGUUCAUUAAUGAAUAUAUGUUUGAUGUUCCUCCUUAGGACUAUUAUAUAAAUACGAUGGAGGAUUGAAAAAAUGUAAUAAAUGAAAUUGUUCUCAUCUGCAAGGAGCUAUGGUAUAAUUAGAAAGACAACACGUGCAGUCUUUGUGGUAUUCUUACGAAUAUCACAGGACUUGUAAAGCAAGGGAUAGAUAUUUAAGAAAGCUUUUUUUUUUUUUUAAGAAUAUAUUCCUUUGAGAGAGAGAGAGAGCUCGAGGACAAGUGGGGCAGGGAGGGGCAGAGGGAGAGGAAGAAACAGACUCCCCACUGAGCAGGGAGCCUAAUUCAGGGCUCGAUCCCACGACCCCAGGAUCAUGACCCAAGAUGAAGGCAGACGCUUAACCUACUGAGCCACCCAAGCGCCUGAAGAAAUCUUGUUGAGUACCUACUGUGUUCUAGGCAUUCUUCCAAGCGCUAAGAACUCAAGAGUGAGUAAAAGAGAUAAAAAGCCUCCCCUCUUAGAACUAACAUUCUAGAUGGGAAGAAAGACAAGGUAGAUAAAAAAGAUAAAUAAGUAAAAUGGGCGCUCGGUUAGUGGGAUGACACGGCAGAGGCUGACAGUGGUUAUGGUUUUAAGUAAGACUUCCUGGAAAAGCCUCAAUAAAAAUAGAGUCAUGUGAGUAAAGACCCAAAGGGAAAGAGGACCGAGUUAUCCAGCAGUGAAGGGAAGGGCAUUUCAGGCAAAGGGAACAGCCAGUGCAAAGGCCACAAAGGACCCUUUCAUCUGUGUUGAGGAAGAAGGAGGCCAGUGGGGCUGGAGUGUGUGGCUGCGUGAGAGAGGGGGUAGAGAAGGGAUCAGAAAAACAACCGGGAACCAGACCCUGCAGGGACUGUCCUUGGCAGGGACUUUGGAGUUUCCUCAGAGUGCAAUGGGGAGCCACUAGAUACUUUUGAGCAGUGCAACAACAUAUGUGACUUGACAGGGGACAGGAGGUGAGGUGAGUGUGUCCUUGGGAGGGCUAUUGUAAUAAUGAAGGCCAGAAAUGACGCCCACUAAAGCUGGGGGUUGGGGGGGUGGAGUUAGUUUAACUGGGCUCAGUCCUCACUGGGCUUGUGCGCAGUUGCACACAGGGAUGCCGUGGUGGAAGGGUUGUGUUCACCAGGCUCAGGAUUUGGCCAAGGAUGAGGAUAUGAGAGAGGCAAGGAGUGGAGAUGAAUGGAAGGGCAUGGUUUUAAUGAGGGGCCGUGGAAUCAAAAUGGGGUAAGGGGAGAAGUGAGAGUGUGAAGGGAAUGAGGAAAACAAACAGGCCGUGCAGUGAAUAGCAGGAAAUUCUGGGGUGGGUGGGGCAUUCUCUUCCGUCAGGUCCAGUGGUAGAAGUGAGAGGGCUGUAACUUCAGCGGAGUCUGGAAGGACAGCCAGGUUUCUGUUAGAGCAAGACGCCAAGGAAGUUUUCUGAGGAGAUCAUGGGGAUAUAGAGGUGUGUGGAUGGUUGAAUGGAAGCACCAGAAGGCACGG